rnacentral:lncRNA from 1 species
CUCUGCUUGACUUGAGACUCCCCCAUCAGAACUCUACCAUCCUCGCCCUUGAUGCACCUAACUUGGUCAAGAUCACGCGCCUUCCUUUCCCUUUCUUUAUCUAACCUGAAUAACUUCCUGUCCCCGCCUUUCUCCCCUAAUUCCUUGUACAUGCAACCAAACGCCGCAUUUUUUGCUUCCGUAACCGCCAUCUUUGCUUCUUUC